rnacentral:rRNA from 1 species
GACGAACGCUGGCGGCGUGCUUAAUACAUGCAAGUCAACUGAACUUAAGAUAGCAAUAUUUUAAGGGAGGUGGCGCACGGUGAGUAACACGUAGGUAAUCUGCCUUUAGGUCUGACACAACCCCGAGAAAUCGGGGCUAAUAUCAGAUGAUGCAGCGGCUCGACAUCGAGACAGUUGUUAAACCUUCGGGGCCUAAAAGAUGAGCCUGCGUCUGAUUAGCUGGUUGGCGGGGUAACGGCCCACCAAGGCAACAAUCAGUAGCUGGUCUGAGAGGAUGAUCAGCCACACUGGAACUGAGACACGGUCCAGACUCCUACGGGAGGCAGCAGUAAGGAAUAUUGCUCAAUGGCCGAAAGGCUGAAGCAGCAACGCCGCGUGGAGGAUGAAAUACUUUGUAUGUAAACUCCUGUGAGAAGGGAAAAUAAUGCAGAUUUACUGCGUUGAUUGUACCUUCAGAGGAAGCCCCGGCUAACUACGUGCCAGCAGCCG